GAUGAACGCUGGCGGCGUGCCUAAUACAUGCAAGUCGAGCGAACAGACGAGGAGCUUGCUCCUUCGACGUUAGCGGCGGACGGGUGAGUAACACGUAGGUAACCUACCUAUAAGACUGGGAUAACUUCGGGAAACCGGAGCUAAUACCGGAUAAUAUUUCGAACCGCAUGGUUCGAUAGUGAAAGAUGGCUUUGCUAUCACUUAUAGAUGGACCUGCGCCGUAUUAGCUAGUUGGUAAGGUAACGGCUUACCAAGGCAACGAUACGUAGCCGACCUGAGAGGGUGAUCGGCCACACUGGAACUGAGACACGGUCCAGACUCCUACGGGAGGCAGCAGUAGUGAAUCUUCCGCAAUGGGCGAAAGCCUGACGGAGCAACGCCGCGUGAGUGAUGAAGGUCUUCGGAUCGUAAAACUCUGUUAUUAGGGAAGAACAAACGUGUAAGUAACUGUGCACGUCUUGACGGUACCUAAUCAGAAAGCCACGGCUAACUACGUG
rnacentral:rRNA from 1 species